AUUUUGUCUACAACAAAAGCAGAUCCAUUCUGAUAAACAUACCAGCUCUAAACAUUUUCUGCUUAUCUUUAUAUUAAUUGUACUAAACAACACAACUGCAGACAGCAAGAAAAGCCUGUUCUCACCAUCUCCUUUGUUGCCUACUCUAAAAUACAAGGCGUGUGUGCUUAGCAGAACAAUGCAGCUGUUUGUGCUUUUAUUUGUAGUUCUAGUGUCUGGCAAUUACCAGGGAAAAUAUAGUUUGAUAAGAAAUCGAAUCUGUUCCACUCAGUCAAAAUUUUAAGUGUACAUUAAAUAUCCAUAGUGUCAAUUUAUGCCUAGAAAUCAGAUUUAUUUUAUUUUCCAGAUUUUACUCAACAUUACUAUGAAGCCAAGCAUCUGUAAUCUUAAAAUUUUAAUAAGGUGAGGACAGGAACACAACCAUUUUGCUGCACAGAUGUAAGCCAAGAAUUUCAGUGCCGUUACUCAGGACACGUAGAAGUCAAGCACAUUGUUACAGGUUGCUUCAGUUUCUUCAGCAGACUACAAGAGGUGAGAGCUCAAGUAAGAAGAGCUGAAAUGCGCUGUCACCGAGACCAGAGCUCCCGCAACAUGCAAGCUACUUGGAGCAUAGACUGUCAUGCUCUAACUGAACUGCAAGAGUGAAUCAAGGCGCUACAGUAAUGAAGGACAGCCACGGGUAAGGAAGGAACGUGGCCAAAGUGCAGAAGGAACCUGACAUACUGCAUGUUUACUUCACCACUUCAUGCCUGGAUUUUACCCAUCUGCAGUGUGGCAGAGAAAAAAUGAACCAAGAGGAGACCCAAGUAGGACAGAAAUAUUUUAAGCAGAAAUACAAAAAGCUAUUUGCGAUCUCCAAACCAAUGGGGGCAAAUCCGCUGCUCUGUUCAAGAAGUCCUGAGUGCAUGGUGUGCAGGGGGAUGAACGAGGCUGCCUGGUCUGCUGCUAUGGGAAGAGCGUUAUAAAGGGGUCAGGGCAGGGGCCUGCAGGAAGGUGCACAGGCUGCUCCGGCUACUGAGGUAAAACAGCCAGCAGGGAGCAGCCCAUCAGCCUAGAAGGGAAAGGCAGAUUCCUUUCCCCUCUGCAUGCCCAGAGCCUGACUCAGUGCCACGGACUGGCCUGUGGAUUUUGCUCCCAGCAGCACAUGUGCAAGGCUCCAGCCAGUUGCAGCAACUCACAGUGAGCUGAGUGCAUUUAUUUCUCCUGAGAGGUAAAGUCCAGGGAGGCCAUCCACGUACAGCUCUGUUCUAGGUGUCACCGCCUCUACUCUGCAGGACAAAUACAGAACGUGGGUCCUGGCAGGUCAAGAGCAUGGCCAUUUACCUUUCAAAAGCUACUUGACAUUUGGGGGUUACGGAUGAAGUCCUAAGCAGUUUCUGUAUUUUUCAAAAGCAUUCAAAUGCUGCUUGAAUAAUUGACAGCCAGCCUGGGAGCAUGGGGCCGACAUGAAAGGAGGAAUGACAGCCUGAUCACCCCACUUCUCCCCACUGUGGCAAACUGAAACCUAACCAAUAAGCUAGGUGCUGCUUGUGCCAUCCACAAGGCUGCCGGAAGGCUGCCGUGCUGAUCUCAAACUCCGGUGUAUUUGCAUUACCCUGAUUGUGCCAACCACACCGACUUGCACCCUCUCCUCGCUAAGAAUGCUGCUUGCAGCAGAUGGCAAUAUCAACGGAAGUGUUUCUAGGUACUGUCAAGCCGCCUGAAAUGUUUCUCAUUUACCACACUCUCCACAGCUGCACCACUCAAGUCUGUUGUGCAUACAGAUUUAAGUCAAAGCUGGCGUCAUUUGGCAAGCAGUGCACUCAUCUCCACUUGAGAGUUGCAAACAUGAAGCUGCUGGGCUGGAAACCACCUGACACGGCCAGUUCUCCCUCUGGUGGCUAAAGGGAAACUUCCAGUUCCAAGCUGGGAAUAUUGAAAGCCUUUGCAUCUGCAGGGUUAAAUGUUGAGAAUGAAUCUACCUACCACGAUUCUGACUCUGCUGUGAAGUAUUCUCGUCCCUUGAAAGCAACAGCACAGUGAAACAAAAAGCAAGUGCUUUGCUAACCCCUAGGAGCACCAGAUGUAGCAAGACAGGCAGUUUUGUUUUGGAGGCGUCUAGAAUGAAUGUUGUACUCGACAGGACGUGGAUCAGCAUCAGCAGGGUUUACCCCACUCUUAGGAAACCGCAGUACCUGUUCCAAAGGGAAGGCUGAAAGAGCUUCCCAUGGGAAGUCAAGGACACGUCCACGCAGCACAGAAACAGCCCCUGGCAGGAACACACUGCUCAGGCUGGAAGUCACAGACACUCGGUUACAGGCGGUUUUUCCUUCCAAGGUGAAGACGGCGACCUUUGCUUGCUGUCCAGCUCUUUUAAAGCAGGCUGAAGGCAGCCCCAGUGUUAACUUGUCCUGCUACACCAGCCCAGAGACAAAAACAGCCCUGCUGGCUUCAAAUGGUGACAGGAUGCCAUGCCUCUCAGCUCAUUUCCCCCACUCCAAUGCUUGUGGAGCCACAUGUUCAAACAAAUAAGCUUUAAAUAUUUUCUAAGCAUUUAUGACAUGUUUUAACUACACUGCUGCCAUGUCCAGGCUGGGCUUUUGGAGCUGCUGACUCAAGGCACAUGCUGGGGACAGUCCUUGAGCAGCAAGGGAUGAAAGAUAGGGCAGAAUGAGUUGUCCUGGACUUUUCAUAUCCAGACCUUGUUUGCUAUUUUGUUCUCCUUCAAAUAUAGACUUGGAAAAGAAAAAAAGGGGCCAUUUUGGGUGCAUGAAGUGAAAGCAUCAAAACACUUUCAACUAAGCUUUCUAAUGAGGAUUUUGUUAUUAAAAACAUUCUCUCCGAGAGGCUGCCCAGUCCGGGGUCCUAAUCGCUGGGGUGGGAGUUAGGAACCCUGCGUUUUAGUCCUGGCUCCACUUCGAACAGGCUACAUCACCACCCUUCCUUUUGUGUAAACUGGAGGACUGCCUACUCAGCUCACAAGGGCGUUGAACGGGUAUAUUAAGACAUGUUUACACGAGGUGUCUGGACAACACAAUGCCAAGCAGUUCUCUCAGGAAGAAAUUUUGGCUCAGCAAGAGAGCUGAGAACUGUGCAGGGGCAGGAUACAGUUUGUUGACUCUGCUGAGGUAAGUACAUGAUCAAGCCCAGACAUUCCUGAUUAAUUGAUAAUGUUGUCCCUACUGUACUGCUUUGUUUGGAUUUUUUUUUUUUUUUUUUUUAUGGAGAAGCUAAAUGCUUCUGCUGCUUUUCACAGGCACCUAAAACAGCAGAGGCAAAGACGUUGCCUGAAAGUUACUUUUACUACACGUGUUUAAGAAUGUGGUGGAAGAAAAGAGCACUGCUGGCCAGCAAACUGAGUUGGUAUUUUUCUGCUACAUGUUCUUGAAUUCAUUCAAUGCACCUCUUUUGAAAAAUAAAGUUACCUGGAGAGGCAGUUA